ensembl:misc_RNA 7SK 7SK RNA
GGAUGUGAGGGCGAUCUGGCUGCGACAUUUGUCACCCCAUUGAUCGCCAGGGUUGAUUCGGCUGAUCUGGCUGGCUAGGCGGGUGUAUGCUUCCUCCCUCACAGCUCCAAGUGCGUCGGUCCGGAAGCAGCGCGUUACGUCGAAGAGGAUGACCUUCCCUGAUAGAGGAGGACCGUUUUUCCAUCAAGGGUAUACGAGUAGCUGUGCUCCCCUGCUAGAACUAGGAGAAGGUAGGGUAGUCAAGCUUCCAAGACUCCAGACACAUCCAAAUGAGGUGCUGCACGUGGCAGUCUGCUUUUCUUU